UACGUAGGGAGCGAGCGUUGUCCGGAAUUACUGGGCGUAAAGAGCUCGUAGGUGGUUUGUCGCGUUGUUCGUGAAAACUCACAGCUCAACUGUGGGCGUGCGGGCGAUACGGGCAGACUUGAGUACUGCAGGGGAGACUGGAAUUCCUGGUGUAGCGGUGGAAUGCGCAGAUAUCAGGAGGAACACCGGUGGCGAAGGCGGGUCUCUGGGCAGUAACUGACGCUGAGGAGCGAAAGCGUGGGGAGCGAACAGG
rnacentral:rRNA from 1 species